GGGGGUGAACGGUUUCGACUCUGGACGUUGAGUCAGGAGAAGCGUGCAGGUGCAGGCGGAUGACCACCUUAAGCGUCGCCGUAACCCAAUAAGCGCCAAGACGAGUAGUCAGCGCGACUUCGCCCUCGCCGCCUGAGCGAGCGCGAGUCUGUCGGCCCGGGAGCGCCUCCGUCCCGGUAGCCGGCAUCAGCUAGGAGGCUCACCGAUCGGCGUUGGCCGCGGAUUCUGAUCGGGACACCUACAGCGGCUGGGCCCGUCACAUCGGCUAGUUCGCGUGACCGGUGGGGCCAAGUAGAGGCAUAGCGAACUGCGCACGGAGAAGGCCUGGCAAGGCGGCAGAGGACCCGGGUUCGAUUCCCGGCACCUCCACCA
rnacentral:tmRNA from 1 species